CUACACUUGAUCUUAGCCAAAAGGCCGAGAAGCGAUGCCCACCUGUCCCAACACGCCCCGGCAACACCCCGCAAACACGCUCUCAGGUCACGGCCGCUCCCGCCCGCCCCGCCACACGCACCCCGCUCCUUGCCCCGCUCCCUCCCCGCACGCUGCCGCCAGCCUCUACCCACACCGACCCCCGGGCCCCGCCGCCUCCCUCCGCCACACGCACUCCCGGCAGCGCCUUCGCUCCGGACAACCCUCUUAGCAUGUCCCCGCCCCCAAGGACGCCGCGCUGCCCGGGGCCAGGGGGCGGCGCGCACGCGCCUUUUGGCCUGGGACGGCCCCUGCUCCACUUGGGGGGCGGCGGCGGCGGCGGCAGCGAACCUUCUUAGAACCUUUCCCGUGGGACCUGUCUCCAAUCCCGUGCAUUUGGCAUGUGCAGCUCGCCUUGAAAAUACAGUGCUGCUGCUGCUGCUGCAGCUGCUCAGAGACGUGCCACUGCGUUUGGGAGCUACAGGAAAGCACAGAGGCAGAACGCUGGUAUGUAGGUCCCCGUGUAGCCUGCCAGCCGGGACUCUGCUACCUUCCUAGCAGCUUUCCGCUGGCAGCUGUCUCCCGAUCAAAAGCAGCGUUGGACCCCAAAAGCCAUGACGAGCAACGGCGGCGAGGGGACGGGAAGGAGGGAGGGACGCCUCGGGAUCCCCGGUGCUGGCACAACACCAGGUUUGCCCUAAAACAGCAGUUUUCCUCUCAGAACGGCGCUUUUCCCGCCUCAAAGGGAUUUUUACCUCCCUCGAACGAGCUCAAUUGGACCGAAAGCAGCCAUCUCCCCCCAUAACAGCGCUUUUAUCUCUCAUAAUGUCCCUUUUCCCCACACAAAGUGGCUUUUCACACACACAAAGCCUCGCACGAGCUGAAGUUGUCCAAAAGCAGCCAUUUUCCCACUAAACGAACGUUUUUCCCCUCAGAA